rnacentral:lncRNA from 1 species
CCCCACUUUGGAUCCAGCUCUUCUCAGCUCUGCAGCAUCAGGUAAGACCUAAAUCUUCACUCUGGCCUCAACCAGGGCUCUUUAAUUCUGGGCCCAAGGCUCAGAGAAGAGCUUGGGGUGCAGGUUCUAAGUGGAGGUUCCGGACAGCAGGAGGGGCUGGGUGCCAGAGCUCCCUAACAAAGUUUUAGGCUUAGGAGCAAUGACUCUUGGAUCCACUAGCCUUCACUGGGGACAGCUUUUACAAUCUUUUAAAUCUUCUUGGGUUUUUUGUUUUUUGUUUGUUUGUUUGUUUUUUGGGGGAAGCUGGGAACCGAACCCAGGGCUUUGCGCUUACCAUUGAGCUAAAUCCCCAACCCCAUCUUUUAAAUCUACAGAAUUAAAAAAGGAAAAAUUAGCCGGGCGGUGGUGGCGAACACCUUUAAUCCCUGCACUCGGGAGGCAGAGACAGAUGGAUUUCUGAGUUCGAGGCCAGCUUGGUCUACAAAGUGAGUUCUAGGACAGCUUGGGCUAUACAGAGAAACCCUGUCUCGAAAAACCAAAAAAAAAAAAAAAAAAAAAAAAAAGGAAAAAUUGGCUUCUGAGCCCCCCUCUCGAAAAUAACAGUCUCUAGCUCUUAGGGAGGAGGGCCAGAGAGUAGGGAGGAGUUGCGAGAGUGGGAGAGUGGGCUGAAACAGUGAGACUGGUAUCGGCAAGUGGUGCCCAGGCAUUUUUUCCACGCAACAUGGCCGCCAUUUCUGCCAACACACUUGGAUUCCAGCUUGAGGAGCAGGAAUGAGGGAGUCAGGGGCCUUGUUCCAAUGGGGAGACUAGAGACAGAGGCGUGUGGGAGUGGAGGCCUUUGUCUAAUGGGAAGGCUGGGGACCGAGGCCUUUAUGGGAGGAGGCCAUGGCUGCCUCCGUUGGAUUCAAGACUGUGGGUCAUACGGCUGGGAAGCACCACCCAGGAUGUUGCAGUUCUAAAGAUGGGGAUGAGCCUUCUGGAGUGGCUGUGGUCUUUACCUGAGUGUCCCCGAGAAGGGAGAGAAUAGGGUGGAAACCCGGAGGGGGUGGGGAGUGGAGGGAAGAAGGUUACAAAGAGGAAGUUGGGCGGGGGAAGAAGAGGCUCAUCUGGCGCCAUGUUGAGUCACCACCCACAAGGCCCAGGGCGGGCCCUCUAGGGGGCCACAGGCAGGGUGGAGCGGUCCCUGGGAAGUUACACGGAGGGGAGGGGGCAGGGGCCUUUAUUAAAGCAGGAGUCGGCAAGAAAAGCAGGUGGCCUGAAGAAUCCCCGUGGACAGACAGACAGUGCAGUCACCCAUAAAGUAGAAAGCACUACUAACAGCACUGGAGGGUGUAGUGUUUCCUACUUUAUGGAUGAGUGCACUGUGGGCUUCGGAGACCACGCCACGCCGCGGCCCCCUGCCACCGUCCUCCACUCCAACAUCAAGGAAACAGGUGAGCAUCUCUCACACGCCCUCAUUUGGCCAGGCUCCCCGAAAGACCUUCAUGGCUCCCCCAAAGCACGGUGCUUCCUGACCCCUGAUACUUGGGGAGACACCACAGCCGCUCUCUCGAAUGCACGUCCGUGAGGAUAUGGGGUGGGGCCGGAUGUGUGGGGCCUUGGUCCUGCAUCGCAGGCCGACUGGGGGUUCGAGAAGGGAGCCGGAUGGAUGGGUAAGGGUCACGGGGCCCUCAACACUAAUAAAGAAUGGACUGGUUU